rnacentral:piRNA from 1 species
UUUUAUUAUUAUAAAUAUCUAGGGCAAAAU